UGGGGAAUAUUGCACAAUGGGCGAAAGCCUGAUGCAGCAACGCCGCGUGAGUGAUGAAGGCCUUCGGGUUGUAAAGCUCUGUCUUCUGGGACGAUAAUGACGGUACCAGAGGAGGAAGCCACGGCUAACUACGUGCCAGCCGCCGCGGUAAUACGUAGGUGGCAAGCGUUGUCCGGAUUUACUGGGCGUAAAGGAUGCGUAGGCGGAUACUUAAGUCAGAUGUGAAAAUCCCGGGCUUAACUUGGGAACUGCAUUUGAAACUGGGUAUCUAGAGUGCGGGAGAGGAAAGUGGAAUUCCUAGUGUAGCGGUGAAAUGCGUAGAGAUUAGGAAGAACACCAGUGGCGAAGGCGACUUUCUGGACCGUAACUGACGCUGAGGCAUGAAAGCGCGGGGAGCAAACA
rnacentral:rRNA from 1 species